UACGUAGGGGGCAAGCGUUGUCCGGAAUCAUUGGGCGUAAAGAGCGUGUAGGCGGCCAGAUAAGUCCGCUGUGAAAGUCAAAGGCUCAACCUUUGAAAGCCGAUGGAUACUGUGAAGCUAGAGUACGGAAGAAGCGAGUGGAAUUCCUGGUGUAGCGGUGGAAUGCGCAGAUAUCAGGAGGAACACCAAUAGCGAAGGCAGCUCGCUGGGACGUUACUGACACUGAGGCGCGAAAGCGUGGGGAGCGAACAGG
rnacentral:rRNA from 1 species